AUGAACGCUGGCGGCGUGCCUAAUACAUGCAAGUCGAGCGAACGGACGAGAAGCUUGCUUCUCUGAUGUUAGCGGCGGACGGGUGAGUAACACGUGGAUAACCUACCUAUAAGACUGGGAUAACUUCGGGAAACCGGAGCUAAUACCGGAUAAUAUUUUGAACCGCAUGGUUCCAAAGUGAAAGACGGUCUUGCUGUCACUUAUAGGUGGAUCCGCGCUGCAUUAGCUAGUUGGUAAGGUAACGGCUUACCAAGGCAACGAUGCAUAGCCGACCUGAGAGGGUGAUCGGCCACACUGGAACUGAGACACGGUCCAGACUCCUACGGGAGGCAGCAGUAGGGAAUCUUCCGCAAUGGGCGAAAGCCUGACGGAGCAACGCCGAGUGAGUGAUGAAGGUCUUCGGAUCGUAAAACUCUGUUAUUAGGGAAGAACAUAUGUGUAAGUAACUGUGCACAUCUUGACGGUACCUAAUCAGAAAGCCACGGCUAACUACGUG
rnacentral:rRNA from 1 species